rnacentral:snRNA from 1 species
UGUACACACAACAAGGCU